rnacentral:rRNA from 1 species
UUGUGCCAGCAGCCGCGGUAAUUCCAGCUCCAAUAGCGUAUAUUAAAGUUGUUGCAGUUAAAAAGCUCGUAGUUGGAUUUCUGGUUGAAGCGACCGGUCGGGCGUUGAUUCGUCUGCACUGGAGUCGGUUUUGGCCAUCCUCUAGGAAAGUGCGUCUGGUAUUAAGUUGUCGGGCGUAUGAUCCUGGUCUUUUACUGUGAAAAAAUUAGAGUGUUUAAAGCAGGCCUUCGCCUUGAAUACAUUAGCAUGGAAUAAUACUAUAGGAUCUUGAUCCUAUUUUGUUGGUUUCUAGGAGCAAGAUAAUGAUUAAUAGGGACAAUUGGGGGCAUUCGUAUCAACACGUCAGAGGUGGAAUUCUUGGAUUGUGUUGCGACGAACUACUGCGAAAGCAUUUGCCAAGGAUGUUUUCAUUGAUCAAGAACGAAAGUUAGGGGAUCGAAGACGAUUAGAUACCGUCGUAGUCUUAACCAUAAACUAUGCCAACUAGAGAUGGGACAUCGUUCACAUACGACUUGUUCCGCACCUUAUGAGAUAUCAAAGUCUUUGGGUUCCGGGGGGAGUAUGGUCGCAAGUCUGAAACUUAAAGGAAUUGACGGAAGGGCACCACCAGGAGUGGAGCCUGCGGCUUAAUUUGACUCAACACGGGGAAACUCACCAGGUCCAGACAUAAUAAGGAUUGACAGAUUGAUAGCUCUUUCUUGAUUUUAUGGGUGGUGGUGCAUGGCCGUUCUUAGUUCGUGGAGUGAUUUGUCUGCUUAAUUGCGUUAACGAACGAGACCUUAACCUGCUAAAUAGGAGCGCAUAUCUCCGGAUAAGCGCCUUUCUUCUUAGAGGGACUUUAUGCGUUUCAGCAUGAGGAAGUUUGAGGCUAAAACAGGUCUGUGAUGCCCA